rnacentral:rRNA from 1 species
GAUGAACGCUGGCGGCGUGCCUAAUACAUGCAAGUCGAGCGAACAGACGAGGAGCUUGCUCCUCUGACGUUAGCGGCGGACGGGUGAGUAGCACGUGGAUAACCUACCUAUAAGACUGGGAUAACUUCGGGAAACCGGAGCUAAUACCGGAUAAUAUAUUGAACCGCAUGGUUCAAUAGUGAAAGACGGUUUUGCUGUCACUUAUAGAUGGAUCCGCGCCGCAUUAGCUAGUUGGUAAGGUAACGGCUUACCAAGGCAACGAUGCGUAGCCGACCUGAGAGGGUGACCGGCCACACUGGAACUGAGACACGGUCCAGACUCCUACGGGAGGCAGCAGUAGGGAAUCUUCCGCAAUGGGCGAAAGCUUGACGGAGCAACGCCGCGUGAGUGAUGAAGGUCUUCGGAUCGUAAAACUCUGUUAUUAGGGAAGAACAAAUGUGUAAGUAACUAUGCACGUCUUGACGGUACCUAAUCAGAAAGCCACGGCUAACUACGUG